rnacentral:rRNA from 1 species
GAUGAACGCUGGCGGCGUGCCUAAUACAUGCAAGUCGAGCGAACGGACGAGAAGCUUGCUUCUCUGAUGUUAGCGGCGGACGGGUGAGUAACACGUGGAUAACCUACCUAUAAGACUGGGAUAACUUCGGGAAACCGUAGCUAAUACCGGAUAAUAUUUUGAACCGCAUGGUUCAAAAGUGAAAGACGGUCUUGCUGUCACGUAUAGAUGGAUCCGCGCUGCAUUAGCUAGUUGGUAAGGUAACGGCUUACCAAGGCAACGAUGCAUAGCCGACCUGAGAGAGGGAUAGGCGACAUGGGAGCUGAGCCACGGUCCAGACUCCUACGGGACGCAGCAGUAGGGAAUCUUCCGCAAUGGGCGAAAGCAUGACGGAGCAACGCCGCGUGAGUGAUGAAGGUCUUCGGAUCGUAAAACUCUGUUAUUAGGGAAGAACAUAUGUGUAAGUAACUGUGCACAUCUUGACGGUACCUAAUCAGAAAGCCACGGCUAACUACGUG